AACGUAGGAGACAAACGUUAUCCGGAGUUACUGGGCGUAAAGGGCGUGUAGGUGGUAGUGUAAGUCUGGCGUGAAAUUUUUCGGCUUAACCGGGAAAGGUCGUCGGAUACUGCACAACUAGAGGACGGUAGAGGCGUGUGGAAUUCCGGGUGUAGUGGUGAAAUGCGUAGAGAUCCGGAGGAACACCAGUGGCGAAGGCGACACGCUGGGCCGUACCUGACACUGAUGCGCGACAGCAUGGGGAGCAAACGAGGAU
rnacentral:rRNA from 1 species